GUCCUGCAGUCACCCGGUAUCUUAGAUAACUUUCUCGCGAUAGAACGCACUCACUCCGCUCUGGUUAGUAUUCACAAGACGAUGGCACUUUUCCUCACUAUGGGUUUCACUUUCACAAACUGACCUUCUUAGGCAUUCAUCUUGACACUGAUACGCUACAGAACAUGUCUACCUACAGAGGUGGGGCGAGAAUGGAUCUACAGUCUUACUGGGCACAUUGAAGUUCGCCAUGAGAAUUAUUCUGCACAUUUCCCAACCGCUGAGUCUUCUUCCCACCGACAGUUGCAUUCUGGCACUAGUUGUAAGCAAACCUACACAUAUGGCUCAGG